ACCCAUAUUUAUUGUUUGUUAAUUUGAACGACUUUCAAUUAAAAUUUGUAAAAUAUAUAUUGCUGGUGACCUAUCAUUGAAAGAACUACUAAAAAGUGAAAACUAUUGUAUUGCUCAUUGGAAUCUAGGUGGGAGUCGUUGAACCAUCGCUUUGCUCAUUGUCCCGUUCUGUUUCUUCUACACUUAUAGGAUUAUUAGGAUGCUACGUUUUGUUUUGUUUUUCUUUUCUUGUGACACGUUCUUUAACUUUUCUACUCAUUCCUAGUGUUUAAUUACUUCUAACGUAUUCUAUAAAAAAAC
rnacentral:lncRNA from 1 species